UCUAGAUCACUCUCUCUCUAACUCUUUUCUCAAUAAUACUCUGCAGCUUUCUCUCUAGUAACCGAGAGCAUCAUCAUCACUACUUUAGAACCCAGCCAAAAUUAGAACCCCAAACCACGAAUUUAGCACCACAGUAACUAGGGGAUCUGCUCAAGAGCCUUGCAUGCAUGAUCCAUGGUCUGGAACAUAUCAAACUUGAGCUUCUGUGCUAUGUGGGUUCUCAAGUGUAUUUCUCGAGAAAUCCGACAAACUUACUAUCAAUCGAGCUGGCGCUUAACUCCUUCUAAUUUGAGGGAGAAUGGAAGCCACGAAAGCCACCAAGGACUCCAGCAAAAGAAAAGGCGGGGAAAGGAAGAAGUCGGUGUCCAAGUCAAUUAAAGCUGGCCUCCAAUUCUUUGUUGGUCGUAUUGUUCGUUAGGUGGUGUUAGUUAAGACAGACAUCAGUCUGCUCCAUCCGACAGUCUUUGUCAAUACUUAAUAUCGCAUGUAUCCGACGUGAGCCUCGAUGUCACUUUUAACCGAUGCUACUAUCCUUUUGUAUUUUACAUUGCUUUCCUUCUUCAGGGUGGAUUAAGGGGACUAACCAACAUCAAAAGCUUUUUCGUGACCUUAGCAUUGGUGUCGGUUCUAUUAUCUGACAUUGCAUGAGUUUUUGUUGGAUUUUUACCAAAUAUCCAAUAUAAAUUAUGUUUUCUUGUCGGUUUUUGAACCGCCAGUUAUAGGUAAUUUUGUAGUAGUGUACUAGAACUAAAUUUUAUAGGGUUUUUAGGUCUCUCAUUGCACUAGGA